rnacentral:rRNA from 1 species
UGGGGAAUUUUGCGCAAUGGACGAAAGUCUGACGCAGCAACGCCGCGUGGGUGAUGAAGGUCUUCGGAUUGUAAAACCCUGUCGUCGGGGACGAAGGUGGGGAGGUUAACAGCCUCUUUACUUGACGGUACCCGGAGAGGAAGCCCCGGCUAACUCUGUGCCAGCAGCCGCGGUAAUACAGAGGGGGCAAGCGUUAUUCGGAAUUAUUGGGCGUAAAGGGCGCGUAGGCGGUGCUUUAAGUCGGAUGUGUAAUCCCCGAGCUUAACUUGGGAACUGCAUCCGAGACUGGAGCGCUGGAGUGCUGGAGAGGGUGGUAGAAUUCCACGUGUAGCGGUGAAAUGCGUAGAGAUGUGGAGGAAUACCAGUGGCGAAGGCGGCCACCUGGGCAGUAACUGACGCUGAGGCGCGAAAGUGUGGGGAGCAAACAGG